rnacentral:rRNA from 1 species
AACGAACGCUGGCGGCAUGCCUAACACAUGCAAGUCGAACGAGACCUUCGGGUCUAGUGGCGCACGGGUGCGUAACGCGUGGGAAUCUGCCCUUGGGUUCGGAAUAACAGUUGGAAACGACUGCUAAUACCGGAUGAUGACGUAAGUCCAAAGAUUUAUCGCCCAAGGAUGAGCCCGCGUAGGAUUAGCUAGUUGGUGAGGUAAAGGCUCACCAAGGCGACGAUCCUUAGCUGGUCUGAGAGGAUGAUCAGCCACACUGGGACUGAGACACGGCCCAGACUCCUACGGGAGGCAGCAGUGGGGAAUAUUGAACAAUGGGCGAAAGCCUGAUCCAGCAAGGCCGCGUGAGUGAUGAAGGCCUUAGGGUUGUAAAGCUCUUUUACCCGGGAUGAUAAUGACAGUACCGGGAGAAUAAGCUCCGGCUAACUCCGUG